rnacentral:rRNA from 1 species
AGUUUGAUCCUGGCUCAGGACGAACGCUGGCGGCGUGCUUAACACAUGCAAGUCGAACGGAAAGGCCCUUCGGGGUACUCGAGUGGCGAACGGGUGAGUAACACGUGGGUGAUCUGCCCUGCACUCUGGGAUAAGCCUGGGAAACUGGGUCUAAUACCGGAUAGGACCACACACUUCAUGGUGAGUGGUGCAAAGCUUUUGCGGUGUGGGAUGAGCCCGCGGCCUAUCAGCUUGUUGGUGGGGUAAUGGCCCACCAAGGCGACGACGGGUAGCCGGCCUGAGAGGGUGACCGGCCACACUGGGACUGAGAUACGGCCCAGACUCCUACGGGAGGCAGCAGUGGGGAAUAUUGCACAAUGGGCGCAAGCCUGAUGCAGCGACGCCGCGUGAGGGAUGACGGCCUUCGGGUUGUAAACCUCUUUCAGUAGGGACGAAGCGAAAGUGACGGUACCUACAGAAGAAGGACCGGCCAACUACGUGCCAGCAGCCGCGGUAAUACGUAGGGUCCGAGCGUUGUCCGGAAUUACUGGGCGUAAAGAGCUCGUAGGUGGUUUGUCGCGUUGUUCGUGAAAACUCACAGCUUAACUGUGGGCGUGCGGGCGAUACGGGCAGACUAGAGUACUGCAGGGGAGACUGGAAUUCCUGGUGUAGCGGUGGAAUGCGCAGAUAUCAGGAGGAACACCGGUGGCGAAGGCGGGUCUCUGGGCAGUAACUGACGCUGAGGAGCGAAAGCGUGGGUAGCGAACAGGAUUAGAUACCCUGGUAGUCCA